rnacentral:pre_miRNA from 17 species
ACUGCAAGAUAUUGCUUGCUGUGGCUGGCUGGGUUCCUGGCAGAGUGAUUUGAUUUAAUAAUGUAAAAUCACAUUGCCAGGGAUUACCAACCUGUCACCAGCUUUUACCAACCACUCCU